rnacentral:tRNA from 1 species
GCCGGUGUGGUGAAAUUGGCAAACACGCACGGUUCAGGGCCGUGUGCGAAAGCUUGGAGGUUCGAAUCCUCUCACCGGCA